rnacentral:misc_RNA from 1 species
CUUUUUUUUUUUUUUUUUCUCUUUAAUACAAGGAGCAACAAAAAGAAAUAAAAUUGCUAAUAAUAUAAUUUUGAAAACUACUGGACAAAAGCCAAAGUCAAAACAUGGAUACCAAACAAGCAGUCAGCAUAUGACAACAUUGUCUAGUGACAUCUCUCAAGGGUAAAAUUUAUUUUUUUCUAGGUUUAAAUUUGUAAUCUUGGAAUUUUCUUUCCCUUGUGCUUAAAUUCUAAGAGCCCUUUAUUACUUCUUCACUUUGUUAAUGGCUCCUUUAUUUUUGUGCUUCCAGAUUUUGAGGGGAGGUGACUUCU